ACUGUGUCUUGGCAAUCAGAUUCUUGGAACUAAUGAGCCGGAAUGUUGAUUGCCUGAUGAAUUUCAGGUGCUGUUCAAUGUUGUGUUUCUUAAAUGAGUGGCAAUGACAGAAUGUCAUUGCUUGUUCAUAAGGCUCUGUUCAUAAGGCCUUCUUAAAAGAGUACAGAUCUGAAAAUGUACGCUGUUAAUGGUAUCCACCAUAUGAUAGCCGUAAGGCUGAGUGAGGGAUCAGUUUGUUGUCUGCGGCCGGGAGGACCUGGUCUACAAGGCUUCAUUGCGGAGCCUGAAAACCAGCAAAGAACUUCAGAGAGGAGACAAAUAGAGACCUGCAUACAGAUGAGGAAAGUGUGGAAGAGAAACCAUUCCCUUUUCAUUAUCUAAUAUAUAUAUUUGGAGUCUCAAAGUAGAGAGAUGAUAGAGGAAUGAAUGAUAGUAGAGGGAUAGAUUGAUAUGGUGAUAGUUGAGUGAUAGAUUGGUGGAGAAGUGAUGUAGGGAUUGAAUAACAGAGAAGUGAUUGUGGAGUGAUCCAGUGAUAGUAGCGUGAUUUUGUGAUAUAGGAGUGAUUUUGUGAUAUAGUGAUAGUUGAUUGAUGGAGGGAUAGUAGAGUGACACAUUGAUUGUAGAGCAAUUGGAGAAUGAUGUAGUGAAAAUAGAGCGAUUCAGUGAUAGUAGAGGGAUAUAGCAGUGAUAUAGUGUAAGGAGAGAGGGGUUAUAUGGGGAUACAGUGAGAUAGUAUAUUAGUGAUAGUAAAGGGAGAAAGUGGUAGUACAGUGAAAUAGUGCUAGUAGAUUGAUAGAUUGAUAGUGGCAUAUAGUGACAGUAGCGAUAGAGAGAUGGUGGAGUGAUUUUGGAUAGUAGAGUGAUAGAUAAGUGAGAUAGUGAUAGUUAUAGUAUAGUGAUAGAGGAGUGAGAUUAUAUUAGCGAUGAGUUGUGAGGAGGGGGUCGAGGUGGGAAGGUAUUUCCCAAAGCCACAUGUCUUCAGCAACAACAACAACAAACUUUCACCACACAAAGUGGGUCUGGACACCUCCCACUCCCAGUGCUGUCAACCUUUCUGCUGUGACUCCUCCUGUCAGACCAGGGGAAGGGAGGAGCAGUGGGCACCGGGGGGGCCUGGGGAGGGGAGAGGAAGGGUGGAGCUGGGAGGAGGUGGGCAGGGGAGACUAGGGGAGGAGCAGGCCCCAGGAGGCCCAGGGGAGAGGAGAAGAGAGGAGACGGAAGGAGGUGCAGGAGACUAUUUGGAUCUCCACUCCAGCUGCUCUUCCUCCUGCCGUCCAGAGGAGGAGGAGGAGGAGGAGGGCUACAGCGACUGGUCCGAGGAGGAUCUUUCUCUUCAUUUCUCCGCCUCCAUCAUCCUCCCCUCUGAUGAAGAGUCAGACAGAGAGACGGGGGAGACACAGGUACUGCUUUGCUUGUGGUUAUUUGUGUUUUGCGUAAAGGAAAAAGGGUGUGUGUGUGUGUGUGUGUGUGUGUGUGUGUGUGUGUGUGUGUGUGUGUGUGUGUGUGUGUGUGUGUGUGUGUGUGUGUGUGUGUGUGUGUGUGUACACAAUGUCAACAUUAUAAGAACAAGAUAUUUGUGCUUUUACAGAACAAAGAGAAGGAGGGGCCUCAGGCCAAGGGUGGGGUUGAUGUGUCAGCCAAUCAGUUGCUCAGUCAGUCAAAGUGUCAUCGCCCAGCAACGUUUCUCCGGCAACACAGCAUGCCUGCAUACUACCAGCGGAGAUUUGCAACCAGCGACGAGGAGGGGCCCAGGGGCUACCGGGGCCUGGUGACUGCAGGCAGGCCAGAACUCCUAGGACCAGGUAGGAACAGUAAACCAAGGCUCCAGAAGUCAUUUUCUUUGGACGAAACAAAAACCAAGUUGGCGUCCUGCAUAAUCAAGGAGGUUUUGUCCAAGAAAAUGCAAGGAGAAAGAGGACCAGCCAAGUAUGCCAGUAAUCUGAUCCCAAACCACCCUAACUGCCAAACCCCAGGCAACCAACCAAAGUUUAGGCAUGGAGUAGGAGGUACAAGCCUGGUUCAGGGUGGACCAGUCCAUAUUGUGAGGGAUAUCAAGAGUCAGGUUCAAACAACGGGCCGCCUCUCCUUCACCAACACUUCCUCCGCUGCAACCACGACACACCACCGCGCUACUGGCUGGAGCCAUGUGACAUACAAGGUGAUUGGCGCAGAGGAUAGCCCCCCCCCAAGCUACCAGCAGGCUGUGGGGGUCAAGGACACCAAGGAGGCCACAAAGAGUCAUCCAUUGACUUCCCAAAGUCACGCUACCGUGGCAACAGCUCUUCCCCAAUCACUGGAGAGACUUGAGGGCAGCAGGUUCCCUAACUGCAGCACUCCAAUCAGAAAACAAGCAGCAGCCAAUCAGACGUGUCAGCUGGGGCCUAUCACUGAGGGGGGGGGGCAGCGUUCCGGGAGGGUCAGGGGUUCGAUUCCCCAGCAGGGAUCAGCUGGGGAAUCUGGAAAAAUUGGUCGGCCUCCACUCCCUGUUUACAACUACACCCCCAUCCUCGGGACAGGGUACGCCCAACCUACGGGCCUCCCCGACACCCCCACUGUGGUCUCCUCUUCCUCUACCCAGCAGAAGGCUAGAGGAGGAAAGGAUCCUCCCGUUCAUACAGACGAUUACAAGGGCUUUAUCAGCACCUCCACCCAGAACACCUCCACCCAUAAGACCUCCACUCAGAACACCUCCACCCAGAACAUCUCCAACAAGUACACUUCAAUUCAGAACACCUCCACCCAGAACAUCUCCAACAAGUACACUUCAAUUCAGAACACCUCCAACCAGAACAUCUCCAACAAGUACACCUCAAUUCAGAACACCUUCAACCGGAAAACCUCCACCCAGAACACCUCCCCCCAGAAUACCUCCACCCAAAGCAUCUCCAACCACCAUGCCACCCACAAACUGGAUCAAACACAACUACACCACCAACAACUACAACAGCAUCAGCUGCUUCAGCAGCAGCAGUUCAUGUUUGCCCUGCAGGGGUUCUGGCCUGGAGGAGGUCUGGUUGGGUUGACGAAUGCAGGGCCUGUAUCCACAAUGCCGCCCACCCAACGCCAGGUCAAAACCCUGUUUGAUCCAGAAACAGGUCAAUAUGUGGAAGUCCUCCUCCCAUUGGCUAACUAUGCCACCGGGAUGAUACCUGUAGGCCCCUCCACCAGUAUGAUACCCGUAGGCCCCUCCGCCAGUAUGAUACCUGUAGGCUACGGCCCCAUUCAGUACGGCUCAGCCCAUAUGCAGGUUGGCUCCGCCCAUAGUAUGAUACCUGUCAGCUCUGCCCCCCUACAUGUAGGCUCCGCCCCCAGUUUGAUACCUGUAGGCUGUAGAGUGAUGUCGUACCAUCCCAUGCCUGUACUCGCCUCAUACUACCCCCCCUUUACUUUACACACACACCCUGGCCCGUAACACACAAACACACCCUGCCCUGUAACACAAACACACCCUGCCCCGUAACACACACAGACAUCCUCCCCUGUAACUCACACCCACACACACAGACUUUGCCCAUUACACACACACCAUACAGUUCCUUUAAUAGACACAUACCUUGUCCUGUAACAUAUACGCACAUAGACUGCCCCGUGAAAACACACUCACGCACACCCCCACACACACACACACACACACACACACACACACACACAGGCCAACACAAUAACACACCAACACACACACACAUCAACACACUGACUUUGAAAGAACGUAAAAAUAUUAAAAGUAUUAGUAUUCCUAUAAAUAGGGCAAGGCACUUACACAGGGUAUAAGGUUUGAUUCCCACUUGGGCCACUAAUGAGUGUUUAAAAAAAGCAUCUGUCAAAUGGCAGAUAUUAUUUUCUUCAUACAACAUUUUUUAAAAUAAUAAAUAUACAAUACAAAACAGGGUUGUAUCUGGUGCAUUAUUGUUUGUGGUUAGUCCUACAGGGUGGUCAGUCCUACAGGGGGGUUAGUCCUAC
ensembl:lncRNA